rnacentral:rRNA from 1 species
GAUGAACGCUGGCGGCGUGCCUAACACAUGUAAGUCGAACGAAGCACCUUGCCUGAUUCUUCGGAUGAAGGUCUGGUGACUGAGUGGCGGACGGGUGAGUAACGCGUGGGUAACCUGCCCUGUACAGGGGGGUAACAGUUGGAAACGGCUGCUAAUACCGCAUAAGCGCACGAGAGGACAUCCUCUUGUGUGAAAAACUCCGGUGGUACAGGAUGGGCCCGCGUCUGAUUAGCUAGUUGGCAGGGUAACGGCCUACCAAGGCGACGAUCAGUAGCCGGUCUGAGAGGAUGAACGGCCACAUUGGAACUGAGACACGGUCCAAACUCCUACGGGAGGCAGCAGUGGGGAAUAUUGCACAAUGGGGGAAACCCUGAUGCAGCAACGCCGCGUGAGUGAAGAAGUAUUUCGGUAUGUAUAGCUCUAUCAGCAGGGAAGAUAAUGACGGUACCUGACUAAGAAGCUCCGGCUAAAUACGUGCCAGCCGCCGCCGUAA